GUGGCCUUUUAAGGUCGGCACAAUGCUUUCAGAAGCUAACAUAGAAGGGUAAAUAUCCUCUCUGGAUUCUUUCUGAAGUCACAGUG
rnacentral:snoRNA from 1 species